rnacentral:ncRNA from 1 species
GAGAGCCCGUUGCGUUGAAAGGCGCACGGCGGGUUCGGCGAGCGGCCUGGGGAAACAGACCGACGGCAACGCCGGAACUGCGCCCCAGGCCGACUCGAC